rnacentral:rRNA from 1 species
UACAGAGGGUGCGAGCGUUGUCCGGAAUCACUGGGCGUAAAGGGCGCGCAGGCGGCCGCUCAAGUCAGGCGUGAAAGCCCCGGGCUUAACCUGGGAACUGCGUCUGGGACUGAGUGGCUAGAGUUCGGGAGAGGAGAGUGGAAUUCCCAGUGUAGAGGUGAAAUGUGUAGAGAUCGGGAGGAACACCGGUGGCGAAGGCGGGUCUCUGGGCAAUUCCUGACGCUGAGGCGCGAAAGCGUGGGGAGCAAACGGG